UACGGAGGGGGCCAGCGUUGUUCGGAAUCAUUGGGCGUAAAGGGCGCGUAGGCGGCUUGGUAAGUCCGUUGUGAAAUCCCUCGGCUCAACCGAGGAACUGCGACGGAUACUGCUUGGCUUGAGUCCCGGAGAGGGUAGCGGAAUUCCCAGUGUAGCGGUGAAAUGCGUAGAUAUUGGGAGGAACACCGAAGGCGAAGGCAGUGUCCUGGCGAGUGACUGACGCUGAGGUGCGAAAGCCAGGGGAGCGAACGGG
rnacentral:rRNA from 1 species